rnacentral:rRNA from 1 species
CUGGCUCAGGAUAAACGCUGGCGGCGUGCAUAACACAUCAAGUCGAACGGAGUUGCCAAGUAGCAAUAUGAAGCAACUUAGUGGCGGACGGGUGAGUAACGCAUGAGCAACCUGCCCUUGUGAGCGGAAUAACGUCGGGAAACCGACGCUAAUACGGCAUAACGCACAGAUACCGCAUGGUGACUGUGUCAAAGAUUUUAUCGCACAAGGAUGGGCUCGUGUCCGAUUAGUCAGUUGGUGAGGUAACGGCUCACCAAAACCGCGAUCGGUAGCCGGACUGAGAGGUUGAACGGCCACAUUGGAACUGAGAAACGGUCCAGACUCCUACGGGAGGCAGCAGUGGGGAAUAUUGGGCAAUGGGCGAAAGCCUGACCCAAGCGACGCCGCGUGAGGGAAGAAGGUCUUCGGAUUGUAAACCUCUGUUGACAGGGACGAAAGCGGGGCAACCCGCGUGACGGUACUUGUCGAGGAAGCCACGACUAACUACGUGCCAGCAGCCGC